CAGGGAUUGCCCUAGUAACGGCGAGUGAAGCGGCAACAGCUCAAAUUUGAAAUCUGGCGUCUUUGGCGUCCGAGUUGUAAUUUGCAGAGGGCGCUUUGGCAUUGGCAGCGGUCCAAGUUCCUUGGAACAGGACGUCACAGAGGGUGAGAAUCCCGUACGUGGUCGCUAGCCUUUACCGUGUAAAGCCCCUUCGACGAGUCGAGUUGUUUGGGAAUGCAGCUCUAAAUGGGAGGUAAAUUUCUUCUAAAGCUAAAUACUGGCCAGAGACCGAUAGCGCACAAGUAGAGUGAUCGAAAGAUGAAAAGCACUUUGGAAAGAGAGUUAAAAAGCACGUGAAAUUGUUGAAAGGGAAGCGCUUGCAGCCAGACUUGCCUGUAGUUGCUCAUCCGGGUUUUUACCCGGUGCACUCUUCUAUAGGCAGGCCAGCAUCAGUUUGGGCGGUUGGAUAAAGGUCUCUGUCAUGUACCUCUCUUCGGGGAGAACUUAUAGGGGAGACGACAUGCAACCAGCCUGGACUGAGGUCCGCGCAUCUGCUAGGAUGCUGGCGUAAUGGCUGUAAGCGGCCCGUCUUGAAACACGGACCAAGGAGUCUAACAUCUAUGCGAGUGUUUGGGUGUCAAGCCCGAGCGCGUAAUGAAAGUGAACGGAGGUGGGAACCCCUCGGGGUGCACCAUCGACCGAUCCUGAUGUCUUCGGAUGGAUUUGAGUAAGAGCAUAGCUGUUGGGACCCGAAAGAUGGUGAACUAUGCUUGAAUAGGGUGAAGCCAGAGGAAACUCUGGUGGAGGCUCGCAGCGGUUCUGACGUGCAAAUCGAUCGUCAAAUUUGGGCAUAGGGGCGAAAGACUAAUCGAAC
rnacentral:rRNA from 1 species